rnacentral:siRNA from 1 species
CCGAGUGCUAUUCAAUCUUGG